GCAGAGGACUCUGAAAUAACCCUCCUAUUCUUCCAUCCUGCCUGGAUUAUCCUGGUCUCUUCUAAUCCCACAACUACUUCAUGUACUGUUAAAUUUUUCAAGCGCAGGCUGUCAUUGUGAUCUGGACGACAGGGCCUUGAGGUUGCUGCUUCCCUGCAUAAAAAAAUAAUUCGGCAACUUUUAGAAGUGGCAUAAGAUAUAGUAAAAGUUUUAAUGGUUUGUAGGACUUUG
rnacentral:lncRNA from 1 species